AAAGAUCGCAGCCUUCGGCAGCUCCUACAGAUGAUCCUGUGCAGGAGCUGCCGAAGGCUGCGAUCUUU
rnacentral:antisense_RNA from 1 species